rnacentral:rRNA from 1 species
AGAGCGAACGCUGGCGGCAGGCCUAACACAUGCAAGUCGAGCGCCCGUAGCAAUACGGGAGCGGCAGACGGGAUAGUAACACGUGGGAACGCGCCCUUCGGUUCGGAAUAACUCAGGGAAACUUGAGCUAAUACCGGAUACGCCCUUACGGGGAAAGAUUUAUUGCCGAAGGAACGGCCCGCGUCCGAUUAGCUAGUUGGUGAGGUAAUGGCUCACCAAGGCGACGAUCGGUAGCUGGUCUGAGAGGAUGACCAGUAUCACUGGGACUGAGACACGGCCCAGACUCCUACGGGAGGCAGCAGUGGGGAAUAUUGGACAAUGGGCGCAAGCCUGAUCCAGCCAUGCCGCGUGGAUGAUGAAGGCCUAGGGUUGUAAAGUCCUUUUAACGGGGAGAUAAUGACGGUACCGUAGAAUAAGCCCGGCUAACUUCGCGCCAGCAGCCGC